rnacentral:rRNA from 1 species
UAGGGAAUCUUGCGCAAUGGAGGAAACUCUGACGCAGCUACGCCGCGUGCAGGAAGACACCCCUACGGGGCGUAAACUGCUUUUCUGCGAGAAGAAGGCCACCCUCCCCCCAGAGGGGGUUUGACGGUACCGCAGGAAUAAGCACCGGCUAACUCCGUGCCAGCAGCCGCGGUAAUACGGAGGGUGCAAGCGUUGUCCGGAAUCACUGGGUGUAAAGGGUGUGCAGGCGGACGCGCAAGUCAGUGGUGAAAGCCCGCAGCUCAACUGCGGAAGUGCCAUUGAAACUGCACGUCUUGAGUCCCGGAGGGGCCAUCGGAAUUCGUGGUGUAGCGGUGAAAUGCGUAGAUAUCACGAGGAACACCAGAAGCGUAAGCGGAUGGCCGGACGGUGACUGACGCUCAGGCACGAAAGCGUGGGGAGCAAACAGGAUUAGAUACCCCCGUAGUCC